rnacentral:rRNA from 1 species
UACGGAGGGUGCAAGCGUUAAUCGGAAUUACUGGGCGUAAAGCGCACGCAGGUGGCUGAGUCAGUCGAUUGUGAAAGCCCUGGGCUUAACCUGGGAAUUGCAGUCGAUACUACUCAGCUAGAGUAUGGGAGAGGGUAGUGGAAUUCCCGGUGUAGACGGUGAAAUGCGUAGAUAUCGGGAGGAACAUCAGUGGCGAAGGCGGCUACCUGGCCCAAUACUGACACUCAGGUGCGACAGCGUGG